GGGAGGGAGGGAUGAAGUAUUGAUAAGGGAGGAGAGGGUGUGUGUGUGUGUGGGGAAAACCCAAAGAAGUUAAUGAGAAACACCAGGGAACUAAGGGGAAUGGGAGAAGAGAGGAAAAAAAGAGAGGAGUGGGCAAAGAGGCUAGAAGAGAAGAGAAGAGAAAGGAGAAGCACAGAAGUGGAUGGGGGUAAGAACCCAGACGGUUUCUUUAGCAUCAGGUAGAAUCCCAAUUGCCUUUGUCAGGAUAUGCUCAAAGCAGCCAGUUGUAACUACUAGGGGUUAACAAUGCAGGUAUUUGUACAAUUCAAAAAGGAAAGGUUACAACUGGCCAUAGCUGAGAGCUGGCAUCAGCUUGGUUCUUACCUUUCAGGUCCAACUGCAACGUGAUCUCUUAUUUCUGUUGAUUUGAUCACUGCAGCUUGUCUGUCAGAAGUAGUAAGAGAACCUGUUCAUAUCAAGAGGUAAGGAAUGCACCUUCUCCUAGCAAUGGAGUGGAAACUAACCAAUCUCAGUGUACUUUCAGGUGAAGAAAGUGAAUCUAGCCUUUGCUGUCAAAGGCUACAAGCAGUUUCAUAAGAAGAAAGCAAGAUACAUAACCAAAGCUUCUGAGAGGUUACAGAAGUAUUGACUUGCUCUAGCCAAGAAUAAGGAAAGCACUUAUACCUACUAGAUUAACAGUACAGCUGAUUGUAUGGAGAGAAAGAUAAACCAAUCCAGCAAUUCACCACACAGAAGGUGGUCAUAUUUCAAGAUGCAAGGAUGACACAUGGCUGUAGUUUACAGGAAGGAAUUAGCUGAUCCAUCCUUUUAAGGAGGUAAGAAAUAUGGGAAUGAUGUAUUGUAAUAGUCAAUGGUUCUGGUCAUCCAUUCAGGUGGAAGGAAGGUAACUGAGGAAAUCUUCAUCUCUCUAAAGAGCACAAGAAAUUGCUGUACUGAAUAAAGCACUAAAAAUGGGAGCUACCUGUUCAGAUGAAAGGAAAGUAAUUGGUAAUUCUAACCAAUGAUGAUGAUCUUUGUUCCUUUUUCCUUCCCAGAGAAGGCCAUUGCUUGUUCCUACAAGGAUGUAACAGGGAAGUUAUUUCAAAGAACAAGUGCAACUAACCAGAGUGUGAAGAUGAGCAUUGAGCCUGUUCUUGCAUUUGCAGAGAGGAGUUGUCCAGCUGAUUCUAGUUGUGCCUAAUUGAUCAUUGUUGCUUAUUUUUCAGAUGUCAAGAAAUAAGCGGAACUGAUCAUUUCUAUCAAGAGGUAAGGAACGCACCUCCUCACAGCAUGGAGGCAGGAAUGAAAGGCUCUGUUUCUAUUUUCAGAUGAAAGGAAGGUCUUACCAUUCAAGGGAGGAUGAGAGGCUGCUGAAUUUAAGAAAAAAAAGUCAGACAGGUUUUGCUCUUCUGAGAUAUGAAGAGACCAGGUGGUCAUUCCUACCAGGGAGAAGUGAGGCUUAGUGGCGUGGCUGUCCUGGGCAAGAAG